rnacentral:rRNA from 1 species
CGAAGGGGCGUAGCGUUGUUCGGAAGUUACUGGGCGUAAAGACGCACGUAGGCGGAUAUUUAAGUGAGGGUGGAAAUCCCAGGGCUCAACCCUCGGAACUGCCUCUCAUACUGGGUAGUCUCGAGUUCGAGAGAGGUGAGUGGAAUUGCGAGUGUAGAGGUGAAAUUCGUAGAUAUUCGCAGGAACACCAGUGGCGAAGGCGGCUCACUGGCUCGAUACUGACGCUGAGGUGCGAAAGCGUGGGGAGCAAACAGGAUU